GACGAACGCUGGCGGCGUGCUUAACACAUGCAAGUCGAACGGAAAGGCCCCUUUGGGGGUACUCGAGUGGCGAACGGGUGAGUAACACGUGCGUAACCUGCCCUUGACUUCGGGAUAACUUCAGGCAACUGGGGCUAAUACAGGCCAGGAAUCCUUGCUGCCUGGUGGGGGUUGGAAAGAUUCGGCGGUUUUGGAUGGACUCGCGGCUUAUCAGCUUGUUGGUGGGGUAGUGGCUUACCAAGGCUUUGACGGGUAGCCGGCCUGAGAGGGCGACCGGCCACAUUGGGACUGAGAUACGGCCCAGACUCCUACGGGAGGCAGCAGUGGGGAAUAUUGCACAAUGGGCGGAAGCCUGAUGCAGCAACGCCGCGUGCGGGAUGACGGCCUUCGGGUUGUAAACCGCUUUCGGCAGGGGCGAAGCUUUUGUGACGGUACCUGCAGAAGAAGCACCGGCUAACUACGUG
rnacentral:rRNA from 1 species